rnacentral:rRNA from 1 species
GGGGAAUAUUGCACAAUGGGCGGAAGCCUGAUGCAGCAACGCCGCGUGAGUGAAGAAGGUUUUCGGAUUGUAAAGCUCUGUCAUCCGGGACGAUAAUGACGGUACCGGAUGAGGAAGCCACGGCUAACUACGUGCCAGCAGCCGCGGUAAUACGUAGGUGGCGAGCGUUGUCCGGAAUUACUGGGCGUAAAGGGUGCGCAGGCGGACAUCUAAGUGAGAUGUGAAAUACCCGGGCUUAACCCGGGCAGUGCAUUUCAAACUGGUGUCUGGAGUGCAGGAGAGGAGAACGGAAUUCCUAGUGUAGCGGUGAAAUGCGUAGAGAUUAGGAAGAACACCAGUGGCGAAGGCGGUUCUCUGGACUGUAACUGACGCUGAGGCACGAAAGCGUGGGUAGCAAAC